rnacentral:sRNA from 1 species
UAUAGGAAAUGACCACCAGCAUGAAAAUA